CAAGUGCAGUCAGAUAAGGAUGCGCCAGUGCCGCCACCUUUUUCUUGGACAAAAAAAGGAAGAAGUGGGCAUCGGCGAGUGGGGGGUAGUAUAGGGCGUGCUGGCGGCCGGGAGGCCGUCAUAACCUAGGGUGCGACCUCACGGCGGGUAGGGGUUGGGAAGGAGGAAAGGAGCUUAGACGAGGAGGGGUACGACGCGGGUGCCGUGGGUGCGGAGGUGGCGGAGGAGGCGGUCUGGUUUAGGUCGGCGGUGGAGGUCCCGUCGCGGCCACGAGUGGUGCGGUACGGGGGGGAACGAACGUGCGCGGCGAAGAGUGGCGCGGUACCGGCGGGGGAGCGAACGAACGCGGAUAUGUGGUGGCACGAGGAGGGGUGCGUCGAGGGUGCCGCGGAGGUGGUGGAGGAGGAGGCGGCCUGGCUUAGGAUGGCGGAGGAGGUCGGGUCGUGACCACGAGUGGCGCGGUACCGGCGGGGGAACGAACGUGCGCAGCGACGAGUGGCGCGAUACCGUCGGGGGGAGCGAACGAGCGCGGCGGAUAGGUGGUGGUACGCGACGGACGAUAGGCCGCAGAUAAAGCCGGCCGGCCGCCGGUGGCCAUGCUGCAGAGGACCCGCGACCCUGCGUUGUUACGAAGUUUUCGACUUUCAGUACACGAGGACAAGAAGUCAUAAAACUGAUAAAAAACAAAGGAAAGGAGUGUAGUUAGCAUGUGUCGGGUGACGAAGUUGGAGACACGUUGCGGGUUACGAGGUUACCGGGUGUAACAAAUUAGAAGUAACGGUAGUGGCGUUUUUUUUUUACGAAGAGGAUUUUGUCUUUGUUUUUUGGGAGGACGACGUCGGCUACGGAGCGGGGGGUAGUAGGAGGUCAACUGUGGUUGGCGUGAGUAUGACGACGGCGACCACAACCUGCUGAACCUACGGGUCAGUCAGUAGAACUAACAAGGAGGGAGCGACGUAUGUGUCAGUGGAGUCCAAAUGCUGAGGACAACCAUGUAUUACAAGGGUAGGUAUCGGUUAAGACUUUAAGAUAUAGAAACCAAAGAAACCAAUUACACAUCUAAAUUAAAACGAACUAACUUAUGUAUCGGAAGUUAAAAUCAGGACAUAGAUAAGACCUAAAACGAACUACACAGUUAAUCAAACGAAAUAACUUAUGUAUCGGAACGUAAAAUUAAGAAACGGAUAAGGUUUAGACUCAAAUUAAAGUGAACUGCCUUAUACAUCGAAAGGUAAAGUUAAGAAGUCCAAAGAAGAGCCGAUGGAACCCUAGUUGGGAGGUAAAAGAAUAACUUCCAAUGAAGGGGGUGUUCGAGGUCAGACUUCCAGAUGUGUACGGAGCGAAGUCUAACACCCUUUUAAUUAUAAGUCAAAGACUGAUAUAGGCAAACACCCUUCUAAUGAUAUGUCAAACACUGACAUACGUUUAAGUAUAAAGUCAAAUACUCGCAAACACUCUUCUAAUGAUAAGUCAAACACUGAUAUACGUUUAAAUACAAAGUCAAAGACUCGCAAACACCCCUCUAAGGAUAAGUCAAAAACUGAUAUACGUUUAAAUCUAAAAUCUUACCUUGUAAAAAGAAUACAUAUAAAAGAAUGACUUCCAAUGAAGGGUGUGCGCGAGGUUAGACUUCCAUAUACGUCUAAAUGUACAAAAUGACGUUUAGUACUACUGAGUGAAAACAACAACUUAGGUCUUAUCAAGGAGAUGUGAGGGGAGAUAGAUUAACAAGGUACAUCUAAAAUCCAUUUCUCGUAUAUAACACCUACUUAUUUAUCUAAUAAGAGUUGAAAGAAAAUAUACCAACUACAGUCAAGGGGUUUUGACUUAUGACAAUUUCUUUAAUACUCGAAAAAACCGAACUGUCUGUAAUACUUGUGAUAUCUGAGAAUUCUCUUCCUAAAUAGAAACAAAUUGUAAGAGUACGAUGAUAUCGGUGCAACUUCUCAAAGGACCACAGUGUAGACUGAGCUUUAUAGUGUUUAUAUUCACACAUUACUGAUAGAUCCAUGUGAUAUUUAGGCCUUUUUUGUAGUUAAUUCGAGAUAGCAAACUAGAUUAAAAAGGACUAUGUAACACAAACACGUCUUGGGCUAAAAUAUCGUGUACGAGUAUACACGAAGGUAGUCCGACGCAAAACACCCCAGCUACGGAGGGGCUAGCUCCAGGUACGAAGUUCAAUGUAAGCGAGUAUUAACGAUGGAGCGGAAGUUUAUAUGACCAAGAGUCAAUACCAACUGGGAAAACACGUUGUUUAAUAUAACCUAAGGAACGUCAUUAGUGUCACCGACCACCUAUUUCGUUGGAGCGCUCUAGGGUCAGGUACCACUACAACCCCAGAGCGAAGUAGAAGUAGAAUACGUGGUGUGUCGACCGAGAAGCCAAUAAUAACAAUCUCAAUACAGCUUAUAAUAACAUGUUCAAUCCAAUGUUAACAGCACAGGUUCAUCCUGUGAACAUAGGAUCUGGAGAGUAUAUAUCGCCCCCAUCUGUGUGCUACAUUGGAUACGGUUGUAUUAUCGUGCCCGUGCGUCCCCUCGGCCGCCCCACACGGCCGCGGGCCCGCCGGCCCCACGCCAUAACACUGCCACAGUACCCCUCCUCGCGGGCAUCAAUAUACGGGGCCCCUACAUCGGUAUAGCCACUUGGAGCAAUUGUUUAGAGCCACAGCACGAACACGCUAACGAACCAGGAACCAUCUAGCUGCCUCACGGAGUCUAAAUAAGAUUGUUCACUAUAGUACUCGUUCCAAGCUCCUCCGCCACCUCAACUAGGUAUCCUUCCGCUCC
rnacentral:rRNA from 1 species